rnacentral:rRNA from 1 species
GAGGAAUAUUGGUCAAUGGAUGGAAAUCUGAACCAGCCAAGUAGCGUGCAGGAUGACGGCCCUAUGGGUUGUAAACUGCUUUUAUGUGAGAAUAAAGUUAGGUAUGUAUACUUAUUUGCAUGUAUCACAUGAAUAAGGACCGGCUAAUUCCGUGCCAGCAGCCGCGGUAAUACGGAAGGUCCAGGCGUUAUCCGGAUUUAUUGGGUUUAAAGGGUGCGUAGGCCGUUUGAUAAGCGUGCUGUGAAAUAUAGUGGCUCAACCUCUAUCGUGCAGCGCGAACUGUCGAACUUGAGUGCGUAGUAGGUAGGCGGAAUUCGUGGUGUAGCGGUGAAAUGCUUAGAUAUCACGAAGAACUCCGAUUGCGAAGGCAGCUUACCGUAACGUUACUGACGCUUAAGCACGAAGGUGCGGGUAUCGAACAGGAUUAGAUACCCUGGUAGUCCGCACGGUAAACGAUGGAUGCUCGCUGUUGGCCUUUAUGGUCAGUGGCUUAGCGAAAGCGUUAAGCAUCCCACCUGGGGAGUACGGUCGCAAGAUUA